CCCGCCAUUGGCUGAACGUCUGCUUCUCCAACUUGCACCAGGGAAUGCUGGGUAAUUAGCCACACCCAACUUCCCCGGGGGUGAGGAGAUUUUUGUCAGUUGAACAUUGUCUGGAGAUCUGAACACACGAGUUUUAACAUUUCAUCUUUUGAUACAGAUUCUAAAGGUCAAGGUCAAGCCAUGCUGCGUGUCCUGGUCCUGGGCUGUCUGCUGCUGACGGCCGGCCUGCACGAGACUGACGCCGAGUGUCUGGAAGACUGCAGGAAGGUCGAGGACUGCAUGCUCAUCACCGGCCUGCCCAUGAUGUUUGGUCCUCCCUUUGGCGCCAGGUGCAUGCAGAAGAUGCUGGACUGCCAGGAGAAAUGUAAACACGGAAAAGAUUAGAGAAAACAGCGAAAUAAAGCGAACUCUUUAUAGUUUUUUUUCGAAGUAAAAGACUUUAAGAUAACUCUGUUCAGGUUUCCGAAUUAUCUUUGUUACCUCCCUUUAACUCUACCAAAUUAAUGGUUAAAAAGUAGAACAAAUUAUUAUUUGUAUUUUUGUAUCGUGAAAAUGAAAUAAGAGUCAGUUGGUUAAUAAUCUAAAUGUAAAGAGUUAUUUAUUUAAAAAUAAAAAGUCUUUCAUUCAA